rnacentral:rRNA from 1 species
GGCGGCGUGCCUAACACAUGCAAGUCGAGCGAGGAGAUUCCUUCGGGAUGAUCCUAGCGGCGGACGGGUGAGUAACACGUGGGCAACCUGCCUCAUAGAGAGGAAUAGCCUUCCGAAAGGGAGAUUAAUACCUCAUAACAUUGCAGUUUCGCAUGGAACAGCAAUUAAAGGAGUAAUCCGCUAUGAGAUGGGCCCGCGGCGCAUUAGCUAGUUGGUGAGGUAACGGCUCACCAAGGCGACGAUGCGUAGCCGACCUGAGAGGGUGAUCGGCCACAUUGGGACUGAGACACGGCCCAGACUCCUACGGGAGGCAGCAGUGGGGAAUAUUGCACAAUGGGGGAAACCCUGAUGCCAGCAACGCCGCGUGAGUGAUGACGGCCUUCGGGUUGUAAAGCUCUGUCUUCAGGGACGAUAAUGACGGUACCUGGGGAGGAAGCCACGGCUAACUACGUGCCAGCCGCAGC